AUUGAACGCUGGCGGCAGGCCUAACACAUGCAAGUCGAGCGGAGCGGCGGUCGGGUGAGUAUUGCUUAGGAAUCUGCCUGGUAGUGGGGGAUAACGUCAGGAAACGGGCGCUAAUACUGCAUACUCUUAGAUGAGCAUAUGUCGGAUUAGCUAGUUGGUGGGGUAAAGGCCUACCAAGGCGACGAUCCGUAACUGGUCUUAGAGGAUGAUCAGUCACACUGGAACUGAGACACGGUCCAGACUCCUACGGGAGGCAGCAGUGGGGAAUAUUGGACAAUGGGCGCAAGCCUGAUCCAGCCAUGCCGCGUGUGUGAAGAAGGUCUUCGGGUUGUAAAGCACUUUAAGUUGGGAGGCGUUACCAACAGAAUAAGCACCGGCUAACUUCGUGCCAGCAGCCGCGGUAAUUC
rnacentral:rRNA from 1 species